rnacentral:rRNA from 1 species
UACGUAGGGUGCGAGCGUUGUCCGGAAUCACUGGGCGUAAAGGGUGCGUAGGCGGCCUGUUAAGUCCGAUGUUAAAGACUGGGGCUCAACCCCAGCAUUGCGUUGGAUACUGGCAGGCUUGACGGUUGGAGAGGCGAGUGGAAUUCCCAGUGUAGCGGUGAAAUGCGUAGAUAUUGGGAAGAACACCGGUGGCGAAGGCGACUUGCUGGACAUUAACUGACGCUGAGGCGCGAAAGCGUGGGGAGCAAACAGGAUUAGAUACCCCCGGUAGU